rnacentral:rRNA from 1 species
CAGUAGCCGCGGUAAUACAGAGGGUGCGAGCGUUAAUCGGAUUUACUGGGCGUAAAGCGUGCGUAGGCGGCUUCUUAAGUCGGAUGUGAAAUCCCUGAGCUUAACUUAGGAAUUGCAUUCGAUACUGGUUAGCUAGAGUGUGGGAGAGGAUGGUAGAAUUCCAGGUGUAGCGGUGAAAUGCGUAGAGAUCUGGAGGAAUACCGAUGGCGAAGGCAGCCAUCUGGCCUAACACUGACGCUGAGGUACGAAAGCAUGGGGAGCAAACAGGAUUAGAUACCCGAGUAGUCCCUGUCUCUUAUAC